GUAUGCUUAUUUCAUGCCGUAAGAAUCCCAACAUUCAAUGUGUUUUAUUGUGUUGUGGUAGGUAUUUUGGUUUCGAACUAUCAUGUCUAACAUAACAGUCUUUUCUACUUUCAGUUCCCUACGCGUGCCCACUUUGAGGUCACCGUGGGUUGUGUGACCUUGAAAACUGCGCUUCGUUAUGCGAGUAUUUCGAAGAACCCGCAACCAGCAUUCGUGCUGAACGCUACAGCAACCGAACGGCCGUCCAGCAAACCUGGCAGCACGUUCACAGUGACCACGUGCGUGGCAAUGAAUCCGACCUUCUCCCCAGUCGACCUCGCUAGUCUGAUUGUGGACAUGCCUUCCGGUUACGUGCCAGUGAGCGCCAGCGUCCGAGAGUUGAGACACAGUCACCAAAUCAAAGGCCUCAAGAUAGUGAAUAAUGACGCUGUCGAAGUACAGUUGGAGAACAUCACUCAGAAGACCAAGUGUUUUAGCUUCCGUAUCGUGCGUGAAACUGUCGUCGAGGAGCCGAAGUGGGCCAUUGUGAACGUCAUCGACUAUUUUAGCCUAUCCCGUCGUGCUGAAACG